CCCAUGCAAGCACGCAGAGAACCUGCAAACUCCACACAGGAAUGGCUGAGAUUCAAGAUUCAUUCAUAUUGAAAAUUGUACCAAGAUACCUUUUCCUUUGUUGUUCUUUGAAAGUCACCAUUAGAUUUGCUGUUGUCGCAGUAUCAUGACUGUCUAAAAGUGCAGUUUCACUCAAAAUGUAAAGAGUUUCUUCUUGGCCCAUGUGACUGUUAUGAAAAAGGUCAUUAAAAUAACAACUGCAGGACCUGAAAUGUACAAGAUACUCGCAUCAGGCUUUUUGCCUCAUAUAAGACUGCAGUGCAAUUUUUCACCAAUGUAAACAAUAUAUGGUGUAAUGUUACUAUAAUGUAUUUAGUUGUGACAGUCAAUGACAUUUUAUUUUUAAAAUCGGCUUUAUUGCCUUUGUUAAAACAACAUUGCUGAUUCAGCUCUUUUUUGUGUCCCUUACACUGUGACUUGUGAGAGCAGCUGAGAUUUUACUUUAUUUGCCUCAUAUUUUCUGAAGUAUGGAUAAGCGGUUCAGAUAAUGGAUCGAUGGAUGGUUGUCUUUUACUCCAUACCAUACAAAUAUUAUUGUUGUUGUUGUUGUUUUUUUUUGUUUUUUUUUUUGUCAGCGUACAGAGGAUCUAUAGACUCAAAGAAAGAGAGAGAAUAUAAUUCUUGCAACAGCUGUCAGACGUGAUCACUUGGAAAGAAGUGUCCAGGAGCAAUAUUGACAGAGAGAGAUAAGAGAAAGCACACAGGAGCAAAGUCCAACUGCUACAGAUCAGUGACGAAAAUGCCUAAAACAUUCAGAGCACGGAAGGCCUUAUUUAAAAGUUGCUAAAAAAUAAGUUAGUCAUAGAUGACAAAUGUACAAGUAACACCAACACCGAUAUCCGUGGUUCCAUAAUUUUGCAUCCAGUUCAUUGUUAAAUAUUAUCCUUUAAACAGUAUUUGAUGGGAAAAUGUUACUGUCGACAAGUCACUUUUAAAUGAUUGUUAAAUGCAACAUUUCAAGCAGAUGCCAAUUAGAAAUCAGUUAUUCAAAUGUGAAGAUACCUCACGUGCCGCAAUGCAAACAUUGACUUAGGACCAGCCCUUCUCCAUUAAUCUUCACCAACAUAUGCGUGUAGCUUAUUUAUUAAGAAUUGGGCCACAGAAUAAUGAUGGUGGUGGGUAAUUAGUAACUAGCAAAGGAGGAACCCUCUUUAAAUUGGCUUCAGACGCCAGAGACACACAGACAGGCAGGAAGAAGGGAGCAUUUGGGUAGAGACGGGAACCAAGAUUACGAGGUGUCCCACAGUAAACAUUUGCAGGUUUUGUUCGCAAGUAAAAAGCAAGGGUAGUAAAUGCGGCAUCAAGGUGGCGGUCACCACAUUUUCAAGACAUUUUCUUGCUCUACUCAUUGGGAGAAAACAAUUCUGCAGCCUUUAUUGCUGGGAUCUACUUACUGCAGGAGCCGUUCCACUUCAGCCUUCAGUUUGGCCGCCUCCUCAGGAGGAAGCUUCUCCAAAUCUCGGAAUAUCGGUGAAGGAACGCCUCACCAAAGCGGACAGAGGGCAGAGUGUGUAUAUUCUCAACAUUUCAGCCACUGCUUUGCUGAAUUCUCCAGCGCACAAGCUGGUUUUAUCAAGAUUGGCCGCAUGCAGCGCAGAUGUAUGAGCUCGCAUUUUCUCUCCCCAGAGAGCUGAAAGCAGUGCUGAUUGGUAAUGAGAUGCAAUCCACACUGUCCAUCUCUCAUUAUUGAGACUUGAUAGGCUGCUACUGUGUACUCACUACUAGCUGUCUUGUGUCUCCACAUCCUCCUCGUCCCUCAACCAGCCCCACCCCCACACCACUAUUCAACCCCAUUGAUCAUGCAUGCAGAAAUUUAACCAACCCUUCAUUCAUGUCCAAAUAGCCCUUGUCCCACUUCCAGAGCUUCAUCUGCUGUGAAGGGCAGGCAAGUUAGCAGACUGGAUAGCGUGCACUAUAGCAAGACCAUAAAAGUAAUUCUCUGCUUGCACAUCCUUAACUAUACACUUCAUGACUGCUAAAGAAGAAUACAUACAGUCCAUGUACACUCACACCUAUAGCUAUAUGCAAAUUUACUCCAAAGGCUAAGGUCUUUUUUAUUUAUUUAUUUAUUUUACAGGUCUGCAUACACUUUACACGCAGUAAGUCAAAGCUGCCAUUGUCUUUGUGUGAAUUACUUUGGCUAUUGAUUGGUCUUAACAUCUUAACAUUGGUAACCUGGUCACAUGUUGAAGCAGUGUUGAGAAGAUUAGCUGGAGCUGGCUUUGGCACUAAUUAAAUACUUAAAGUCCAGCCAUGAAUGAGCACGGCACACAGGCCUCCUGUUAGAACACUGUAUCAGCUGGGAGUAUUAAAACUUAGACGGAAAAUCUUGAAAUGCUUGCUUCCCAGAAAUAUCCUUAAAAAGCAGGCUCGAAUGCACUCAAACUGAACUACCAUCAGAUUCUUAGAAAUAGCAUACAUGAGAAGUGAGACUUAACUAUCAACAACCCAGAGAAACUGCUAAAAGAUUUAGAUUUUUUUUUUUUAAACAU